AUUGAACGCUGGCGGCGUGCCUAACACAUGCAAGUCGAGCGGUAACAGGUGUAGCAAUACAUGCUGACGAGCGGCGAACGGGUGAGUAAUGCUUCGGAAUCUACCUUAUGGUAGGGAAUAACUAGCCGAAAGGUUAGCUAAUACCGCAUACGUCCUACGGGAGAAAGCAGGGGACCGCAAAACCUUGCGCCAAAAGAUGAGCAGAAGUCGGAUUAGCUAGUUGGUAGGGUAACGGCCUAACAAGGCGACGAUCCGUAGCUGGUCUGAGAGGACGACCAGCCACACUGGGACUGAGACACGGCCCAGACUCCUACGGGAGGCAGCAGUGGGGAAUAUUGGACAAUGGGGGAAACCCUGAUCCAGCGACGCCGCGUGUGUGAAGAAGGCCUGCGGGUUGUAAAGCACUUUUAGUGGGGAUGAAAUGUGCAGGGUUAAUACCUCUGCAUUUUGACCUAACCCACAGAAAAAGCACCGGCUAACUCUGUGCCAGCCGCCGCCGUAA
rnacentral:rRNA from 1 species